UUGUUUUUUUACCGUGCUCAUUUCAAAUUUCUAGGCCAGGCAUACAUUUUAGCUUCUCUCCCAACGCUUUUAGUGUUUCACGUCGACUCUUCAGGGUUUAAUGUUAUCAUUAAACGAUAUUUGAGUGAAUAUAGUGUGCAGUUUUGAGCUUUUGAAGCGUCAGUUUGCCUGAGACGCGGGAUGGCUGGACAGCGCUGCUGAGAAGACGGAGAUGUUAUUUUCUGCCUGAUUAAUCAAAACGUUUGCCUGUGUCGAGAAGACGGAUAAACAAUUGUUCGGCUGAGAAUACGGCUCAAUCAUCCGAUGUAGCUCCAUUGUUUACGCUCUUUGACAUAUACCUUAAACAUGGCUCAAGAACCAGGAAGUGGGGAAAAUGACCUUCUGUGAAAUAUGGUUUUGUUAACGUACUUUGACAUCAACCAUGAACACGGCUCAAGAAACAAGAAGGGAAAGUGACUUCCAAGACUGGCAACACUGUACAAAAAAGGAAAGCAAAACUUGU